CAGCUACUCCCUCCAUCCGGAAAUACUUGUCAUCAAAAUGAAUAAAAGGGGAUGUAUCUAGAUGUAUUUUAGUUAUAGAUACAUCCCUUUUUAUCCAUUUUGAUGACAAGUAUUUUCGGACGGAGGGAGUACUAA
rnacentral:pre_miRNA from 1 species